rnacentral:lncRNA from 1 species
ACUCCACAUACUGACUGGAAAUAUUCCAUCAGUAAAAAUCCCUCUCACAUACAUCAGACACACUAGUAUGGAUUAACUAUUGUAACACUAACUGUACCAUCUCAGCAUGGCAGCUUUAUUGUCACAAUAUAUUGUCUAGGCCGGCAACAAUUUCUCCAUAUUGGUACUUCUACAAAUAUGUUCCUGAGCCACUCUACUUCUCUUCAAGCUGCAUAAGCGGGUCUCGUUCCUGUGAUCCUAAAAAUCUGUGCUGUCGCACCCAGCAAACUCCGGCUUUCGAGCCUACACCCUCUAUUCUCAUUCACUGCUAGAAUUCGACCUCCGUUGAUGGAUGUGCUUGGCCGGAAGGGUCCUACACAGGGUCAAUAGCUAGAAAGCUCCUUUGGGAGAGCAAGCUUUGAGAUUCACUCGGCUAUAUAUCCGCAGGACCUGCUGUGAUCUUGACUUAGGAACGAAUUCUCCAAGUGCACCCUCUUCAAAAGAAAAAGGGAAUCUAACAUUCAAGAACCUUUCCAAAGCAAAGACAGGGGUAGAACCGAGUUGCAGAGCAAUCUGACCAUCCCACACAAAAGCAAUCCCAGGAACUAUGUCCUACCCUCUCUUCCUCUCUCUCUCCUUACUCGCUACAAGUCUUCCGCUCUAUCGUCUCGGUCUACUUGCCUCUUGGCGUGCUCCUACCUUUCCUUUCCCUAUCUAGGAGUGGCUAGCUUAUGUGACUUUCACAGGUCCGCUUGCUCUUUUCCGCCAAAUGGAAAGUUAGCUCAUAGGGCUUUUCAGGUACUCUGCGGAAAAUGCGUGAAUUGGCCUUUUCCCUUUCAUCAGUAUGCGCGAGUUGCAGGGCUUCAAGCUGCUUUGACAUAUCGGGUGCAGGAUGUGCUU